rnacentral:rRNA from 1 species
UACGACUACAUAUCAGGCAUAUCAAUAAGCGGAGGAAAAGAAGCUAACAAGGAUUCCCUUAGUAACGGCGAGUGAAGCGGGAAGAGCUCAAAUUUGAAAUCUUCAAGGUUCUACCUUGACGAAUUGUAGUUUAAAGAAGUGUUUUCUGUUAGAUGAGUAGCUAAAAGUUCCUUGGAAUGGGACAUCAUAGAGGGUGAGAAUCCCGUAUUUGGUUAUUCAUUCUAGCUUUGUGAUACACUUUCAAAGAGUCGGAUUGUUUGGGAAUGCAGUCCAAAAUGGGUGGUAAAUUUCAUCUAAAGCUAAAUAUUGGCGAGAGACCGAUAGCGAACAAGUACCGUGAGGGAAAGAUGAAAAGAACUUUGAGAAGAGAGUUAAACAGUACGUGAAAUUGUCAAAAGGGAAGCGUUUGACACCAGUGUUGUUUAGUUGAAAAUCAAUUCAAUAGUUUUUGAUUCUAAGUAGUAUUGACUUCAUCAGCUUGCUGCUUUCUUCUCAGAAAUUAUUGAAUGCACUUUUCAGUUAACAAGUCAACAUCAAUUUCUUUUGUUGUAAAAGGGUAAGAGGAAGGUGGCUUGCGCUUCGGCUCAAGUGUUUAUAGCCUUUUAUCUCUGCAAUCGGAGAGAUUGAGGUCUGCAGCGUAGAUCCUUCGGGGUUAGAUACAUUGGUGCUAAGCUAUAGCCUUGUAUAGACAACUUGUUGACUAUGCUCAGUCAUGUAGCUUACUCGCUGAUGCUAUUUUACCUACGCUUAGGAUGUUGAGUAGCGACAUACGCAC